rnacentral:rRNA from 1 species
AUUGAACGCUGGCGGCAGGCCUAACACAUGCAAGUCGAGCGGAGCGGCGGACGGGUGCGUAAUGCCUCGGAAUCUGCCUGGUAGUGGGGGAUAACGUCCGGCAACGGGCGCUAUUACCGCAUACUUGCAGAUGCGCCUAGGGCGGAGUAGCUAGUUGGUGGGGUAAAGGCCUACCAGGGCGACGAUCCGUAACUGGUCUGAGAGGAUGAUCAGUCCCACUGGAACUGAGACACGGUCCAGACUCCUACGGGAGGCAGCAGUGGGGAAUAGUGGACAAUGGGCGAAAGCCUGAUCCAGCCAUGCCGCGUGUGUGAAGAAGGUCUUCGGAUGGUAAAGCACUUUAAGUUGGGAGGCGGUACCAGAAGAAUAAGCACCGGCUAACUUCGUGCCAGCAGCCGCGGUAAUGC